AGCCACCUGGGGAGUACGUUCGCAUAGAUUGAAACUCAUAGGUAUUGACGGGGGCCCGCACAUGCGGAGGAACAUGUGGUUUAAUUCGAUGAUACGCGAGGAACCUUACCUGGACUUAAAUGUAGAGUGCAUUUACGUAGAAAUAUGUAUUUCCUUCGGGACUCUUUACAAGGUGCUGCAUGGUUGUCGUCAGCUCGUGCCGUGAGGUGUCGGGUUAAGUCCCAUAACGAGCGCAACCCCUAUUGUUAGUUACCAGCGCGUAAAGGCGGGGACUCUAGCGAAACUGCCGGUGUAAACCGCGAGGAAGCUGGGGAUGACGUCAAAUCAGCACGGCCCUUAUGUCCAGGGCUACACACGUGUUACAAUGGCCGGUACAGUGGGCAGCCACAUAGCGAUAUGGAGCUAAUCUCAAAAGCCGGUCUCAGUUCGGAUUGGAGUCUGCAACCCGACUCCAUGAAGGUGGAUUCGCUAGUAAUCGCGCAUCAGCCAUGGCGCGGUGUAUACGUUCCCGGGCAUGUACACACCGCCCGUCAAGCCAUGGAAGUUUGG
rnacentral:rRNA from 1 species